rnacentral:rRNA from 1 species
AUUGAACGCUGGCGGCAUGCUUUACACAUGCAAGUCGAACGGUAACAGGCCGCAAGGUGCUGACGAGUGGCGAACGGGUGAGUAAUGCAUCGGAACGUGCCCAGUCGUGGGGGAUAACGCAGCGAAAGCUGCGCUAAUACCGCAUACGAUCUAUGGAUGAAAGCGGGGGACCGUAAGGCCUCGCGCGAUUGGAGCGGCCGAUGUCAGAUUAGGUAGUUGGUGGGGUAAAGGCUCACCAAGCCGACGAUCUGUAGCUGGUCUGAGAGGACGACCAGCCACACUGGGGCUGAGACACGGCCCAGACUCCUACGGGAGGCAGCAGUGGGGAAUUUUGGACAAUGGGCGCAAGCCUGAUCCAGCAAUGCCGCGUGCAGGAAGAAGGCCUUCGGGUUGUAAACUGCUUUUGUACGGAACGAAACGGUCCUGGUUAAUACCUGGGGCUAAUGACGGUACCGUAAGAAUAAGCACCGGCUAACUACGUGCCAGCAGCCGCAGUAAGAC